rnacentral:rRNA from 1 species
AUUGAACGCUGGCGGCAGGCCUAACACAUGCAAGUCGAGCGAGCGGCGGACGGGUGAGUAAUGUAUGGGGACUGCCCGAUAGAGGGGGAUAACUACGGGAAAAGGUGGCUAAUACCGAAUACUAUCGGAUAACCCAUAUGGGAUUAGCUAGGAGGUGGGGGAAAGGCUAACCAAGGCGACGAUCUCUAGCUGGUCUGAGAGGAUGAUCAGCAACACUGGGACUGGGACACGGCCCAGACUCCUACGGAGGCAGCAGUGGGGAAUAUUGCACAAUGGGCGAAAGCCUGAUGCAGCCAUCCCGCGUGUAUGAAGAAGGCUUUAGGGUUGUAAAGUACUUUCAGCGGUGAGGCGUUACCCGCAGAAUAAGCAACGGCUAACUCCGUGCCAGCAGCCGCGGUAAUUC